rnacentral:lncRNA from 1 species
AACCUUGUCAUCAUCUCUGUACUGUAUUCCAUCCCUAUAUUGGUUAAUCUUCAUUUUGUACUGAAAUGAAAACUUAGUAAUUUGAUGUAUUUCUUUGCCAGUUUGAGGAUGAUUCAGAUUGUAGUGCCUUGUGUUGUCUGCUUUCUGAGUUAAGACCAGUGGAAAUAAUAAAGCCAGCUAAAUUGCUUAGUCUUGAGACUGAGAGAGUACUUCUGCGGUACACACGAAAUCUGCUGGUAAAUGAGUUGGUUCCUGUCUCUGAAUUUUGGGAUGCUGAGAGAACCAUUUGUGUCUGCGGUACACACGAAAUCCGCUGGUAAAUGAGUUGGUUCCUGUCUCUGAAUUUUGGAAUGCUGAGAGAACCAUUUGUGAGGUGAAGGCAAUCUAUAGGAACAUGAGCAGUCCACCGCUGUCAUCAUCUC